CCUACGGGUGGCAGCAGUGAGGAAUAUUGGUCAAUGGGCGCGAGCCUGAACCAGCCAAGUCGCGUGAGGGAAGACGGCCCUACGGGUUGUAAACCUCUUUUGCCGGGGAGCAACGUGCGCCACGUGUGGCGCCCCUUAGAGUACCCGGAGAAAAAGCAUCGGCUAACUCCGUGCCAGCAGCCGCGGUAAUACGGAGGAUGCGAGCGUUCUCCGGAUUUAUUGGGUUUAAAGGGUGCGUAGGCGGAGCGUUAAGUCAGUGGUCAAAUUGAGGGGAUCAACCCCUUCCCGCCAUUGAAACUGGCGCUCUUGAGUGGAAGAGAAGUAUGCGGAAUGCGUGGUGUAGCGGUGAAAUGCAUAGAUAUCACGCAGAACCCCGAUUGCGAAGGCAGCAUACCGGCGCCCGACUGACGCUGAGGCACGAAAGUGCGGGUAUCGAACAGGAUUAGAUACCCCAGUAGUC
rnacentral:rRNA from 1 species